rnacentral:ribozyme from 1 species
UGCCCAGCAACUCCUAUCCCUACCUCCUCGUGGUGCCGGCCGGAAACUAGGGAGAUCGGGUAACCAACCUUAGGGAAGCAACCUUAGGAAAGAUCGGGUAACCAACCCCGGUGGGAACUUUGGCAAGGAAUUUUGGUCGUAGGCUCACAGGGAAGG